UACGAAGGGGGCUAGCGUUGUUCGGAUUUACUGGGCGUAAAGCGCGUGUAGGCGGGUCGUUAAGUUGGGGGUGAAAUCACGGAGCUCAACUCCGGAACUGCCUCCCAAACUGGCGACCUGGAGCAAGAUAGAGGCGAGUGGAAUUCCGAGUGUAGAGGUGAAAUUCGUAGAUAUUCGGAGGAACACCAGUGGCGAAGGCGACUCGCUGGAUCUUUGCUGACGCUGAGACGCGAAAGCGUGGGGAGCAAACAGG
rnacentral:rRNA from 1 species